AUUGAACGCUGGCGGCAGGCCUAACACAUGCAAGUCGAGCGGAGCGGCGGACGGGUGAGUAAUGCCUAGGAAUCUGCCUGGUAGUGGGGGAUAACGUCCGGAAACGGGCGCUAAUACCGCAUACUAUCAGAUGAGCCUAGGUCGGAGUAGCUUGUGGGUGGGGUAAAGGCCUACCAAGGCGACGAUCCGUAACUGGUCUGAGAGGAUGAUCAGUCACACUUGAACUGAGACACGGUCCAGACUCCUACGUGAGGCAGCGGUGGGGAAUGUUGCACAAGGGACGCAAGCCUGAUGCAGCCAUGCCGCGUGUGGGAAGAAGGCCUUCGGGUUGUAAAGCACUUUCAGCGGGGAGGCGUUACCCGAAGAAGAAGCACCGGCUAACUCCGUGCCAGCCGCCGCGGUAAUAC
rnacentral:rRNA from 1 species